AAUUUCACGAUUAGGGGAAGAAGGGGGAAAAAGGUGAAGUUCGCCGAUCUUUGAAAUCGAUUUUCUGGUGGCACUUGCUUCAGUUAGGAGUAGGUUUGUUUCUCAUUCGAGUGGUUAGACUUCUGGUUUCGGGAUUUUACUGGUUUUUCUUGCCUUAAAAUCGAACUAAACCACCAGAUCCUUGUAAUUUCUCCUUCUAUUAUCUUAUCAACUUCCAGUUCAGCUCAUUCAGAGUUUAGAGCAGUUCAACGAGGAAUAUCCAUAUCCAUUGGGAAUUCUUCCGAUAUGGAAGCAUGAGAUGUUUUUAUGUUAUUUUAUAUUUUAAAAUGUUAUGUAAUUUUAAUUUUAGGAACAACAUUUGGAAUUGGAACUUGGAACAUUUGUUAUUUUUACUGCAGACUGGAGCUGUAUUCUAGUUUAAAAUGUUUGUAUUUUUGUAAACAUACGUCAUGUGAAAACUCUUAAUUUUAAUGCAGACCAUCACAUUCUUGUGGGAUCAA